GGUGAACGCUGGCGGUAGGCCUAACACAUGCAAGUCGAACGGCAGCACAGUAAGAGCUUGCUCUUACGGGUGGCGAGUGGCGGACGGGUGAGGAAUACAUCGGAAUCUACUUUUUCGUGGGGGAUAACGUAGGGAAACUUACGCUAAUACCGCAUACGACCUACGGGUGAAAGCAGGGGAUCUUCGGACCUUGCGCGAUUGAAUGAGCCGAUGUCGGAUUAGCUAGUUGGCGGGGUAAAGGCCCACCAAGGCGACGAUCCGUAGCUGGUCUGAGAGGAUGAUCAGCCACACUGGAACUGAGACACGGUCCAGACUCCUACGGGAGGCAGCAGUGGGGAAUAUUGGACAAUGGGCGCAAGCCUGAUCCAGCCAUACCGCGUGGGUGAAGAAGGCCUUCGGGUUGUAAAGCCCUUUUGUUGGGAAAGAAAAGCAGCAGGUUAAUACCCCGCUGUUCUGACGGUACCUAAAGAAUAAGCACCGGCUAACUUCGUG
rnacentral:rRNA from 1 species